rnacentral:rRNA from 1 species
CGAGAAAGUGGAGCAAUCCAUGAGUAAAGUGGCGACCGGGUGAGUAACACGUGACUAACCUACCCUCAAGUGGGGAAUAACUCCGGGAAACCGGGGCUAAUACCGCAUAACAUCGCAAGAUCAAAGCAGCAAUGCGCUGGAGGAGGGGGUCGCGGCUGAUUAGCUAGUUGGCGGGGUAACGGCCCACCAAGGCGAAGAUCGGUAUCCGGCCUGAGAGGGCGCACGGACACACUGGAACUGAAACACGGUCCAGACUCCUACGGGAGGCAGCAGUGGGGAAUUUUGCGCAAUGGGGGAAACCCUGACGCAGCAACGCCGCGUGGAGGAUGAAGCCCCUUGGGGCGUAAACUCCUUUCGACCAAGACGAUAAUGACGGUACUGGUGGAAGAAGCACCGGCUAACUCUGUGCCAGCAGCCGCGGUAAUACAGAGGGUGCGAGCGUUGUUCGGAAUUAUUGGGCGUAAAGGGCGCGUAGGCGGUGCCACAAGUCACUUGUGAAAUCUCCGGGCUUAACCCGAAGUCUGCAUAGGAAACUGCCGGGCUUGAGUAUGGGAGAGGUGAGUGGAAUUCCUGGUGUAGCGGUGAAAUGCGUAGAUAUCAGGAGGAACACCUGUGGCGAAAGCGGCUCACUGGACCAUAACUGACGCUGAUGCACGAAAGCUAGGGGAGCAAACAGGAUUAGAUACCCUGGUAGUCCUAGCCCUAAACGAUGAUCGCUUGGUGUGACGGGUACCCAAUCCCGCCGUGCCGUAGCUAACGCGUUAAGCGAUCCGCCUGGGGAGUACGGUCGCAAGGCUGAAACUCAAAG